UACGUAGGGGGCGAGCGUUGUCCGGAUUUAUUGGGCGUAAAGAGCUCGUAGGCGGUUCGGCAAGUCGACGGUGAAAUCUCCACGCUCAACGUGGAGGGGUCCGUCGAUACUGCCGUGACUCGAGUCCGGUAGGGGAGUGUGGAAUUCCUGGUGUAGCGGUGAAAUGCGCAGAUAUCAGGAAGAACACCUAUGGCGAAGGCAGCUCUCUGGGACGGUACUGACGGCUGAGAC
rnacentral:rRNA from 1 species